CCAGAGCAGUGGAUUAAACAGAGUGGCGACACUCCCAUAGGCAUACGCUGUACAGCCCGGCGGACCCCGCUUCCGGGUUAUGGCACUCUUAAUAGUUCCAACAUGACCGCCUGUCACGUCGGACGCCGUUCGCUUCUAUGGCCACAAGGCAAGCACUCACCGAGGUUAAAUGAUAAAAUAUCAACAAGUUUAAUGCCAAUACAUGUGUUAUUGAUAUCGAGGGGACCCCUUUAAAUGUAAAAAUGUAUAUCCCAAAUGUAAUUACGUUUUUUUAGUCAGGAAUUGGGAUUGAUUUUUUUAGCCACGGUUUGCUCCCACACUCCCCAAGGUAAAAUAUUGUAUCAACGAAUUUAAUGCCAAUACGUGUGUAAAUGGUAUCGAGGGAC
rnacentral:lncRNA from 1 species